UCUUGGAACGGGCUCCAUGCCCAAGCUGG
rnacentral:piRNA from 1 species